rnacentral:rRNA from 1 species
UACGGGGGGUGCGAGCGUUGUCCGGAUUUACUGGGCGUAAAGAGCGCGCAGGCGGUCGUUCAAGUCGCGUGUGAAAGCCCCCGGCUCAACUGGGGAGGGUCACGCGAUACUGAUCGACUCGAAGGCAGGAGAGGGAAGUGGAAUUCCCGGUGUAGUGGUGAAAUGCGUAGAUAUCGGGAGGAACACCAGUGGCGAAGGCGGUUCUCUGGGACGGUACUGACGCUGAGACGCGAAAGCGUGGGGAGCGAACAGG